rnacentral:rRNA from 1 species
GACAGAGGGUGCAAACGUUGUUCGGAAUUACUGGGCGUAAAGCGCGUGUAGGCGGCCCUGCAAGUCGGAUGUGAAAUCCCACGGCUCAACCGUGGAAGUGCAUUCGAAACUGCAGGGCUAGAGUCCUGGAGAGGAAGGUGGAAUGCUUGGUGUAGAGGUGAAAUUCGUAGAUAUCAAGCGGAACACCGGUGGCGAAGGCGGCCUUCUGGACAGUGACUGACACUGAGACGCGAAAGCGUGGGGAGCAAACAGG